rnacentral:lncRNA from 1 species
AGACUUGCAGUCCUUCUCCACAGCUGUGUUCUUUGCCGAUCGCAGAUUGCAGUCCUUUGUGAUUCCAGGAUAAAUCCAUUUUGCUGGUAAAAUAACUGGCUGUUUCCUUGUUUUAGGUUAGCAACCCCCUCCCAAGGCCAAGGCCACACCUGCUUCAAAGCAGGCUUGAAGAGCAGACUGGAAGCCUCCUAUGACGGAAGCUAGGUUCUUUGGGACUCAGUGACCUCUGUGCUGAGUGGAUACUCCUUCAGAAAGGCUUUUCCUUUGUUCUUCCAGAGACCCAGCGCCUCGUCUGUUUCCCUACGUGUGGCUCUAGGUGGCCUGAAAAAAGCAAGUUAUCCUGACGGCAUCUUCAGCUGCACGACUUGCUGACCAGCCCCGUGCUCGGCCUGAGAGAGGGAACCUUAGUAGAGGAUGUACCGGGGCCAGAGCCGGAGAAGGACGUUUUGGACCCAUGGGCGCGCCUGUUCACAGACGCAGAGGCUCGGAGAGCCUGCGUGUCCAGGACGACGCGUAUCAGGAGAGGGGGUCCCUGGCUGUGUUCCCGCUCUGUCCUCCCUAUAGCUCCCCGCACACCCGGAUGUGGCCCCGUGGAGCCGGCCCCCGGGGGCCCGGCAGCUCUCAGAGCGUCUGAGAUGCUGGUCUCCCUGGAAGGCUGCUUCCUCUGCUCAAAGUGGCCCUCCGUUUCUCACUUUUCUGUUUCGAAGGCUGCAUACGAGUGUACCUUCGGCAUGCGUCUCUUUUGGAGAACCUGUCACCUUGAAAGUCGUGCUGCCCAUACAGCAACCCCCCCCCCCCAGCAUGGGGAGGGGCCCUUCCCAAAGCCAGUGACCAAGAAAGAAUGCUUUUCUCGCUUGCUGAAGCCGAAGCCCUUCCCAGCCUGUGGGCUCUCACUCCCUCUGCCCCGGGUUCUGACGGCUUCUGGUGACCGGCAGCCCCGUCUGUCCCUUCACGCUCUCCCCGGUGGGACCGGGGGCCUCCACGGCCUGGGCCUGCUCGUCUCGGUCUGACCUCCGGAGGUCACCUCUCAGUCGCUCUCCUGAAACCACCUGCAGGUCUCCUGGCCUUGUGGCCUUGUGGGUGAUCUCAGGGCCCCCCAUUUCUGCUCCUCCCCAUGGACUGCUCCUGGGUCCUCUUCCAGAAAGCUCUCUGAGUCUCUGCAAGUGUUGGAGGCACUGUCUCAACCAGGACCCCCUUUCUCUCCUGCCUUCAGGGACUGUCCCCAGCUGCCAGCAUGCCCACUUUAUUUGCGCUCACACGGCCUCGAGCAGGUACCCCUGCCCUCUGGUCUCCAGAGAGUGACUGUUGGGAGCAAACGUUCUUGCCACGUCCUGGCUCCUUCCAACCCGUGCGUGUGCUGCCCAUCGCUUGGCCUUCUCCCUGGCCGUGCCGCGGCCCCCGCUCUGGAUCCCGGGCCGUUCUGCCUGCGUGAGGACCUCACCGCACCAGCGGGGCCCCACCUCCUGCCCCCGUCCGUCACCCCCCUGGCUCCCCAGUCCCAGCAGAUACAGGCUCCCAAGCCUUUACCUUCGCAGGGAGCUGCGCACGUGGGCCCUUGAGCUGUCUUUUCUGAACGCCGCCCUCUCACAGCCAGAGAGGAGCCAGCACACUGGUGACGGCCUGCCCCUGCUCACUCCAACUCCUCAUCCCGCAGAAAGGCCCAUCACCCAGUCACUGAAAGUGCUCCCCAGCGGAUCACCCGAGGCCCGCCAGAUCCAAAUUUAGGAAUUCUCCACAUA